rnacentral:rRNA from 1 species
AAAGGGGCCUAAUGUAUCGRAACGUGCCCARUAKCGGGGGAUAACUACGCAAAGCGUACUAAUACCGCAUACGCCCUACGGGGGAAAGCAGGGGAUCUUCSGACCUUGCACUAUUGGAGCGGCCGAUAUCGGAUUACUAUUGGUGGGGUAACGGCCUACCAAGGACSAUCCGUAGCUGGUUUGAGAGGACGACCACCACCUGGGACUGAACACGGSCCAGACUCCUACGGGAGGCAGCAGUGGGGAAUUUUGGACAAUGGGGGAAACCCUGAUCCCCAUCCCGCGUGGCGAUGAAGGCUUCGGRUUGUAAAGCACUUUUGGCAGAAASAAACGUCCGGGCUAAUACCCCGCGAACUGACGUACCUGCAAAUAAGCACCGGCUACUACGUGCCACAGCCGCGGUAAUACGUAGGUGCAAGCGUAAUCGGAAUUACUGGGCGUAAGCGUGCGCAGGCGGUUCGAAAGAAAAUGUAAAUCCCAGAUCUUAACUUUGGAACUGCAUUUUUAACUACCGSGCUAUAGUGUGUCAGAGGGAGGUGGAAUUCCGCGUGUAGCAGUGAAAUGCUAAUAUGCGGAGAACACCGAUGGCGAAGGCAGCCUCUGAGAUACCUGACCCUCUUGCACGAAGCGUGGGGAGCAAACAGGAUUAGAUACCCUGUACUCCAU